GCAUGCGCCAUCCAAGAAUGCUUACAAAAUGAGGUUCCUCGCUUCAUUUCGAGCGCACAGUGGCCACCAAAAUCUCCGGAUACCAAUCCGUUGGACUAUUGUGUCUGGAGUAUUUUGGAAAGCAAGGUUGGCACUAAAAAUACCAAAGUGUCGGUCACCUCAAGCAAACGCUUCGCCGGGAAUGGGCCAAAAUACCGUAGAGCAGCAUUCGGGCAGCGUGUAACGGUUUCAUUCGCAUUUUGAAGGCCAUAAUUCGUGCCAAAGGUGACCAAUUCGAAUAAAUCUAAACUUAUUCUAAAAUUUGAUGCUAUUUCCGAAAUUUUUUGCUUUCAUUCAAUAAAAUUAAAAAAAAAAUGUAAAAAA